UCGAGCGGAGAGAAGUAGCUUGCUACUGAUCUUAGCGGCGGACGGGUGAGUAAUACUUAGGAAUCUGGCUAUUAGUGGGGGACAACAUUUCGAAAGGGAUGCUAAUACCGCAUACGUCCUACGGGAGAAAGCAGGGGAUCAGUAAUGACCUUGCGCUAAUAGAUGAGCCUAAGUCGGAUUAGCUAGUUGGUGGGGUAAAGGCCUACCAAGGCGACGAUCUGUAGCGGGUCUGAGAGGAUGAUCCGCCACACUGGGACUGAGACACGGCCCACACUCCUACGGGAGGCAGCAGUGGGGAAUAUUGGACAAUGGGGGGAACCCUGAUCCAGCCGUGCCGCGUGUGUGAAGAAGGCCUUAUGGUUGUAAAGCACUUUAAGCGAGGAGGAGGGUACUGGUAUUAAUACUACCAGGUACUGGACGUUACUCGCAGAAUAAGCACCGGCUAACUCUGUGCCAGCAGCCGCGGUAAUACAGAGGGUGCGAGCGUUAAUCGGAUUUACUGGGCGUAAAGCGUGCGUAGGCGGCUAAUUGACU
rnacentral:rRNA from 1 species